rnacentral:rRNA from 1 species
ACGGAAGGCAGCAGUGGGGAAUAUUGGACAAUGGGGGAAACCCUGAUCUAGCGACGCCGCGUGAGUGAAGAAGUAUUUCGGUAUGUAAAGCUCUAUCAGCAAGGAAGAAAAUGACGGUACUUGACUAAGAAGCCCCGGCUAACUACGUGCCAGCAGCCGCGGUAAUACGUAGGGGGCAAGCGUUAUCCGGAUUUACUGAGUGUAAAGGGAGCGUAGACGGCAAUGUAAGUCUGAAGUGAAAGCCCCGGGCUCAACCCGGGAACUGCUUUGGAAACUGUAUAGCUAGAGUGCAGGAGAGGUAAGUGGAAUUCCUAGUGUAGCGGUGAAAUGCGUAGAUAUUAGGAGGAACACCAGUGGCGAAGGCGGCUUACUGGACUGUAACUGACGUUGAGGCUCGAAAGCGUGGGGAGCAAACAGGAUUAGAUACCCUGGUA